UACGUAGGUGGCGAGCGUUGUCCGGAUUUACUGGGCGUAAAGGGAGCGUAGGCGGACUUUUAAGUGAGAUGUGAAAUACCCGGGCUCAACUUGGGUGCUGCAUUUCAAACUGGAAGUCUAGAGUGCAGGAGAGGAGAAUGGAAUUCCUAGUGUAGCGGUGAAAUGCGUAGAGAUUAGGAAGAACACCAGUGGCGAAGGCGAUUCUCUGGACUGUAACUGACGCUGAGGCUCGAAAUCGUGGGGAGCGAACAGGAUUAGAUACCCU
rnacentral:rRNA from 1 species